rnacentral:rRNA from 1 species
GGAAUUUUGCGCAAUGGGGGAAACCCUGACGCAGCAACGCCGCGUGGAGGAUGAAAUCCCUUGGGAUGUAAACUCCUUUCGAUCGGGACGAUUAUGACGGUACCGGAAGAAGAAGCCCCGGCUAACUUCGUGCCAGCAGCCGCGGUAAUACGAGGGGGGCAAGCGUUGUUCGGAAUUAUUGGGCGUAAAGGGCGCGUAGGCGGUUUGACAAGUCUGAUGUGAAAUCUCUGGGCUCAACCCAGAGUCUGCAUUAGAAACUGUCGGGCUUGAGUAUGGGAGAGGUGAGUGGAAUUUCCGGUGUAGCGGUGAAAUGCGUAGAUAUCGGAAGGAACACCUGUGGCGAAAGCGGCUCACUGGACCAUAACUGACGCUGAGGCGCGAAAGCUAGGGGAGCAAACA